rnacentral:rRNA from 1 species
UACGUAGGGGGCAAGCGUUGUCCGGAAUCAUUGGGCGUAAAGCGCGUGUAGGCGGUUCGAUAAGUCUGUUGUGAAAGUCCAAGGCUCAACCUUGGGAUGCCGAUGGAUACUGUCGAACUCGAGUCCGGAAGAGGCGAGUGGAAUUCCUGGUGUAGCGGUGAAAUGCGCAGAUAUCAGGAGGAACACCAAUUGCGAAGGCAGCUCGCUGGGACGUUACUGACGCUGAGACGCGAAAGCGUGGGGAGCAAACAGG